CGAGCAUUACUCGCUGAGACUCUCUGCCGGAAACAUCUAACAUUCAGACAGUAGCUUGGUAGUCUUCGAAUUAUUCGAAGAUCGUUUUUCUGAUAUAGGAUAUUAGAGCAAGACUUGGUGUAAGAUGAACUCAAAGGUGCAUUUACUUUCGUUAACAGUGUUGCUGCUGGUCGUUCUUGUGGAUUUCAGUCAAUGCAACUUGUAUGGGGUAGAUGACGAAACGAAUGACGACAGAUACGUUUACUAUCAAAGGUCAGCACGGCAGACACAAAUGAAAGGAGGGUGUUACGUAAUUGAAGAAGAGUGCGGGAAAUGUUGUCAAAAAUGCUACACCUGUUGUCUUUUCAAGUGCCUUCGCCAUCGACUUAAAAAGAGGAGUGACGACUCGGACAAUCUUGUCCCCAUCGAUGACGAGUCUUCCGAGCGUAAAAGAUGGGAUGCCACAGCUUGAAGAAUUUCGCGUGAUAACAUUUCAGUAAAAGAAACUCUUUCAGAAAAACAUAUCACAUAAAGUUUAUUUGUUCUUUUGUUUGUUGUUUUAUUUUACGAAAGGGGUCAUAAAUAAACAUCACUGUUUUACGUA